rnacentral:rRNA from 1 species
UACGUAGGGUGCGAGCGUUAAUCGGAAUUACUGGGCGUAAAGCGUGCGCAGGCGGUUCGUUGUGUCGGCGGUGAAAGCCCCGGGCUUAACCUGGGAAUGGCCGUCGAAACUGGCGAACUGGAGUGUGGCAGAGGGGGGUGGAAUUCCGCGUGUAGCAGUGAAAUGCGUAGAGAUGCGGAGGAACACCAGUGGCGAAGGCGGCAUCCUGGCCCUGACCUGACGCUCAGGGGCGAAAGCGUGGGGAGCAAACCGG